rnacentral:rRNA from 1 species
GACGAACGCUGGCGGCGUGCUUAACACAUGCAAGUCGAACGGAAAGGCCCUGCUUUUGUGGGGUUCUCGAGUGGCGAACGGGUGAGUAACACGUGAGUAACCUGUCCUUGUCUUUGGGAUAACUUCAGGAAACUGGGGCUCAUACCGGAUAUGAGCUCCUGCUGCACGGUGGGGGAUGGAAAGAUUCGGCGGUUGGGGAUGGACUAGCGGCUUAUCCGCUUGUUGGUGGGGUAGUGGCUUACCAAGGCUUUGACGGGUAGCCGGCCUGAGAGGGUGAACGGCCACAAUGGGACUGAGAGACGGCCCAGACGGGUACGGGAGGCAGCAGUGGGGAAUAUUGCACAAUGGGCGGAAGCCUGAUGCAGCAACGCCGCGUGCGGGAUGACGUCCUUUGGGUGGUAAACAGCUUUCGCCGGUGACGAAGCGGUAGUGACGGUAAUGGGUAAAGAAGCACCGGCUAACUACGUG